rnacentral:lncRNA from 1 species
GUGGUAGGUCUGCAAAGUUGCAUGGUUUUGUGCACCGACGGCGUGGAGACGUGAGCCUUUGAGUCACUAGUUCUUUGCACCGGGUGCAUGAAGAAGGAGAGGGACAACACUGUAGUGGUGCUGGCUAUGGGAGGCUAACAGAUAGGAUCGAUAGAUAGGGCCUUAGUGGAAUAUGGAGCAAGUGACUGAUAGAUAGGGACAAGGGUCCGACAUGGUUCUGUGUUAUGGACUCAUGUUGUAGGCCGGUGGACCGGCUCGGGUUGUGUCUUCAAUCCAAUGGACUAUGUGCAGGGAGGAGAUGAGGUGCAUCGUCGGUGCUGGGGGAUAGAACAAAGCAGAUGGUUGGGGCUUGCUGGCCCUUUCUGGUCAUUGGUGACAAUGAGAUCAGGUUGAUGGGAGAGAGAAUGGUGCAGCGGCGAUAGUGAAAGUAUUGAUGAUCGUCAUCUUAGAAAAUACGACCUCCAACUAUGCAUAGAAAAUGACUCAUUGAGAUAAAUCAUUUUGCUGUAGGGAUUUAAACUAAUGAGUACCACAAGUUUUGUGUCCGAGCAUGUUGUGCAAGGAAUAUAGGUAAGUUGGUGCACAAAUGCCAUAAUGGUAGAGGAGCAAAGAUUGCACCUAAGUCAAAAGGAUCAAUGGUGCACAAUGUUUGGAGUUUCGGUCGAAGUUCACCAAAUCCAGCGAAUUUUAGUUCUACUAGGCUGAGGAGUGCCAGUAGAUAGCUCGCUAGAGCUUAGGGCAAGAAGGGCAAAAAUGAGGCCUUGAUGUGAAAGGUUUUUGGUUGGGUUUAGGGGCAAGGAAAAGGUGUGGUGGGUGUUGCAGACCUUUCCAUGGUCCACAUGGAGGUGGAAGCUCACUGGCAGCAGAUGAUCGUGGAUGAAUCAGUUAGGAUGUAAAGAUGAAACAGGGGUGGCUUGGUUGGGUGAGGGUUGAGGGGAUUCAAGGCUCGGGGGAAUGGUUGGAUACUCAAGGGCUCAUCCAUGAUCAUGAUUCGGCUAGGGUCUCGCUAGUGGCAGUUGUUGUCGGUAACAAUAGGUGUUGAGCUUGAGUGGCUUAAUGUGGAAUCAGAGGUGUAACACCCCGAUUUUUAGCGCAUUUUAAAAUGUACUAAAAUUUUGACCCCUUUUCAAAUUUUCAAUCAAAACCAAUUCAUUUUUAUUUACUAGCUAGCUAGGUUAGUUAAACAUUUUCUAAAACAAAACCUUGAAUUUAAAACCUUAUUUUUGUUGCAUGGCCUGUGUGCGACUCUAAAAUCCUAGAAUCCCUAUCCAGCUCAAACUUAAAUAGGAUCAAGUUUCACAUGAAUCAAAUUUUUCAACCAAAUGCCAAACCCCUUUAAACCUUCCAUGGGCCAAAAUCUAGAAGGCCCAUAGGAUCCUUCACCACCUUCCCUCCUUCUUUCCUUACUUUUGGAUCAGCCCAACACAACCACCAGGCCACCUCCUCUCCC